CUAAACUAAGGGCCUCGCCGGUGGUCCGGUCGAAGGAGGCUAAGCAAUGGCCGACGGCUGUUACACAGAAACGGUAAAUAAGGAAAACUGAAACCUAGUUGUGUAUUUAACGUUGUCUGAACGGUGAGGUAAAGUCUCAUCCGUUCAUCACGAUGGAAGACUCGGCUUCUCGCCAUGAAGGUGUUGUAUCUGGCUCCUCACGCCCAAGUCGGGCCAGCGGAACUGCUGAGGAAGAAGCGGACCCUGGAUGGGUGAACAAGCUGACUGAAGAAGCUUACCAACUUGUGAAGGAUACCCGAUUCCCAGGAGUCAGAGGCAAAAGGAAACGAGUGAAGUUGCUGGAAAGACAACCAACUGCACGGGACAGGCCAAGGGAACCAGGUGAACAAGUGUCUACACCUGACUAUUGUGAAACAGUGGAUAUUUCCUGCUUAGACAAAACUGAAACUACGACAGAAAGGGAGCAAAGAGAUGAUCCAUCUUGGACAUUAGGAAAUCUGGGUGCACAAAUGUCUACCCCUUACUACUCUGAAACAAUGGAUAUUUCCUGCCUUGACCAAACUGCAGGUAUUCCAGAAAGGGAGCAAAGAGAUGAUCCAUCUUGGACAUUGGGAAAUCAGGGUACACAGUUGUAUCCAGAUGACUAUUGUGAAAGAGCGGAACUUUCCAGUUUUGUGCAAACUGAAGGUAUGAAAGAAAGCUAAGAGAUGAUACAUCUUGGACAUUAGGAAAUCAGGGUAACUGGAUUAGAAUUGAGCUGUGGAUUGAAAGAAAUACCUUUGACAUGCCCUACACAGUGUUA
rnacentral:lncRNA from 1 species